UACAGAGGGUGCAAGCGUUAAUCGGAAUUACUGGGCGUAAAGGGUGAGUAGGUGGUAGAUUAAGUUGGGUGUGAAAGCCCCGGGCUUAACCUGGGAAGAGCAUCUGAGACUGGUCUGCUAGAGUCGGGUAGAGGGGAGAGGAAUUUCCGGUGUAGCGGUGAAAUGCGUAGAUAUCGGAAGGAACACCAGUGGCGAAGGCGUCUCCCUAGAUUUAGACUGACACUGAAUCACGAAAGCGUGGGUAGCAAACAGG
rnacentral:rRNA from 1 species